rnacentral:rRNA from 1 species
UACAGAGGUCUCAAGCGUUGUUCGGAUUCAUUGGGCGUAAAGGGUGCGUAGGCGGUUCGAUAAGUCGGACGUGAAAUCUCCACGCUCAACGUGGAGGGGCCGUUCGAUACUGUCGUGACUCGAGUCCGGUAGGGGAGUGUGGAAUUCCCGGUGUAGCGGUGAAAUGCGCAGAGAUCGGGAGGAACACCCGUAGCGAAGGCGGCACUCUGGGCCGGUACUGACGCUGAGGAGCGAAAGCGUGGGGAGCAAACAGG